rnacentral:rRNA from 1 species
UACGGGGGGGUGCGAGCGUUGUCCGGAAUCACUGGGCGUAAAGGGCGCGUAGGUGGUUUGAUAAGGAUGUGGUGAAAGUCCGGAGCUCAACUCCGGAUCUGCCGUGCCGACUGUCAAACUCGAGGGCUGUAGAGGCAGACGGAAUUCCGGGUGUAGCGGUGGAAUGCGCAGAUAUCAGGAGGAACACCGGUGGCGAAGGCGGGGUCUCUGGCGCAUACUGACGCUGAGGAGCGAAAAGCGUGGGGAGCGAACAGG